CAAGGUUUGACAUGCCGGUUACCGAUCUGAAAAGUGAGGGACCCUUCGGGGAGCCGGCACAGGUGGUGCAUGGUUGUCGUCAGCUCGUGCCGUGAGGUGUUGGGUUAAGUCCCGCAACGAGCGCAACCCUUAUCUUUAGUUGCCAGCACAUAAAGGUGGGCACUCUAGAGAGACUGCCGUCGACAAGGCGGAGGAAGGUGGGGAUGACGUCAAAUCAUCAUGCCCUUUAUAUCUUGGGCUACACACGUGCUACAAUGGCCGGUACAACGGGAAGCGAAAGCGCGAGCCGGGGCCAAUCCCAAAAAACCGGUCCCAGUUCGGAUUGCAGGCUGCAACUCGCCUGCAUGAAGUCGGAAUCGCUAGUAAUCGCAGGUCAGCAUACUGCGGUGAAUGCGUUCCC
rnacentral:rRNA from 1 species